rnacentral:rRNA from 1 species
UACGAAGGGGGCUAGCGUUGCUCGGAAUCACUGGGCGUAAAGGGUGCGUAGGCGGGUCUUUAAGUCAGGGGUGAAAUCCUGGAGCUCAACUCCAGAACUGCCUUUGAUACUGAGGAUCUUGAGUUCGGGAGAGGUGAGUGGAACUGCGAGUGUAGAGGUGAGAUUCGUAGAUAUUCGCAAGAACACCAGUGGCGAAGGCGGCUCACUGGCCCGAUACUGACGCUGAGGCGCGAAAGCGUGGGGAGCAAACAGG